GUGAAAAUCAUGGAUUCCAAUCAUAUUGCUAUUCAUUACAAAACUAACCAUCAUUUGAUAAUAAGCACAAAGUCUAUCAGUUACCAUAAUGGCCAGGACAAAGUUGAGAUUUUGUGGGGACAGGAACUCACCCAACACAAUACAGAUGGUGUGUCUCUGGUUGUCCUGGAAAACGAAAUGAAUGUUACCAUGGGAAAUAUUGGUGUUUUUAUUAUUUCUAAGAAAGAUGGGGUCAAGUUUUUGUGGCCUGCCAUUUGGGAACAUCCAAAAGAUGUUAACCUGACAGGUGUUUUAGGAAAGUCUGAUAUUUCAUAUGUGAAGACUGAAGGAUCACAAACACCAACUCUUAAGAUGAAGGACAAGGAGGUGAAGACAUAUUUGUAAGUGAU